AUGUAAUCAAGUUAAAAUGAGGUCAUUCUGGCUUAGUUUCGAUCCUAAAUCCAGUGACUGGUGUCCUUGUAAGGAGAGAGAGAUUUGGAUCCAGAUACAGGGGAGAAGGCCAUGUAAUGGCAGAGGCAGAAAUCAAUGCAAUACAGGGAUAAGCCAAGGAACACUGAGCACUGUCAACCAGGAGGAAAGAGGCAAGGAAGGACUCUUCCCUAGAGCCUUUAGACAGAACAUGGCCUUGCUGACAGCUUGACUUCUAACCUCCAGAACCGAAAACCUCUUCAUGUACUUAAACCAAACAAUCUACAUCAAAGUUUGAACAAUCUUGGAUGCCUCAUGUUUAUGAGCUUCCUGUCUACCACCUGAAUGUUAGUCCCACUCCAGGGCCCGGAGCCUCUGCUUCUGCCCCCAAGAGGCUGCCUGAAGCAUCUUUCCACCAAGGCAGAUAGUAGUUACCAAUACUCCAGAAAGUGACAUCUUCUUUACAUUUUUUUCCAAUAAAAUAACUCAGUUACA